GACGAACGCUGGCGGCGUGCUUAACACAUGCAAGUCGAGCGGAAAGGCCCUGCUUUUGUGGGGUGCUCGAGUGGCGAACGGGUGAGUAACACGUGAGUAACCUGCCCUUGACUUUGGGAUAACUUCAGGAAACUGGGGCUAAUACCGGAUAGGAGCUCCUGCUGCAUGGUGGGGGUUGGAAAGUUUCGGCGGUUGGGGAUGGACUCGCGGCUUAUCAGCUUGUUGGUGGGGUAGUGGCUUACCAAGGCUUUGACGGGUAGCCGGCCUGAGAGGGUGACCGGCCACAUUGGGACUGAGAUGCGGCCCAGACUCCUACGGGAGGCAGCAGUGGGGAAUAUUGCACAAUGGGCGGAAGCCUGAUGCAGCAACGCCGCGUGCGGGAUGACGGCCUUCGGGUUGUAAACCGCUUUCGCCUGUGACGAAGCGUGAGGGACGGUAAUGGGUAAAGAAGCACCGGCUAACUACGU
rnacentral:rRNA from 1 species